UACGUAGGGUGCGAGCGUUGUCCGGAAUUAUUGGGCGUAAAGAGCUCGUAGGCGGUGCGUCACGUCGGCCGUGAAAACCUGCAGCUUAACUGUGGGCGGGCGGUCGAUACGGGCAUCACUGGAGUUCGGCAGGGGAGACUGGAAUUCCUGGUGUAGCGGUGAAAUGCGCAGAUAUCAGGAGGAACACCGGUGGCGAAGGCGGGUCUCUGGGCCGAUACUGACGCUGAGGAGCGAAAGCGUGGGGAGCAAACAGG
rnacentral:rRNA from 1 species